UUUCAUGAUGAUACACAUCCUUAUUACUUUAUUUCUGGUACCUCUUGUGUCAGAGGUGCAUCAGCUUCGGUUGGUGUUGCCUCGAUGAUCGAAACGGACAUCUGAUU
rnacentral:snoRNA from 1 species